UAGCUCAGUUGGUAGAGCAUGGUGUUUGCAACGCAAGAGUUGUGGGUUCGAUUCCCAC
rnacentral:tRNA from 1 species